rnacentral:sRNA from 21 species
GUCAACUCCCCCUCCUGAAUCAAAGAUUCAGAAAGGGCCUAUAAGAGCCCAAGUUGACCAGCCUGAGUCUUAACUGACUACGUUCGGCGGGAUGUAGAUAUCUUUGGAUGUAAUCGCCAGACCAAAGCGCUAUC